UACGUAGGGUGCGAGCGUUAAUCGGAAUUACUGGGCGUAAAGCGUGCGCAGGCGGUUUUGUAAGCCAGGUGUGAAAUCCCCGGGCUCAACCUGGGAAUGGCAUUUGGGACUGCAAGGCUGGAGUGUGGCAGAGGAGACUGGAAUUCCUGGUGUAGCAGUGAAAUGCGUAGAUAUCAGGAGGAAUACCGAUGGCGAAGGCAGGUCUCUGGGCUGGCACUGACGCUCAUGCACGAAAGCGUGGGGAGCGAAACAAGG
rnacentral:rRNA from 1 species